rnacentral:lncRNA from 1 species
AAGGAAAUGGGGAAUGUGUCAAAGCGACAACAACCCGACCAUAGAGCAGACAACAGCCGAAGGCCACCAAUGGGUCUUCAAUGUAGCGAGAAUUCCCGCACCAGUAGGUGUCCUUCAGCUGGUCCCUAAAAAUAUGUAUACUAGUACAGUGAUAAUGGACGUCAUACUAAACUCCGAAUUAUACACAAGAAACUAAAAUUAAAAAUCAUACAAGACGAACAAA